rnacentral:rRNA from 1 species
GACGAACGCUGGCGGCGUGCUUAACACAUGCAAGUCGAACGGAAAGGCCCUGCUUUUGUGGGGUGCUCGAGUGGCGAACGGGUGAGUAACACGUGAGUAACCUGCCCUUGCCUUUGGGAUAACUUCAGGCAACUGGGGCUAAUACCGGAUAGGAGCUCCUGCUGCAUGGUGGGGGUUGGAAAGUUUCGGCGGUUGGGGAUGGACUCGCGGCUUAUCAGCUUGUUGGGUGGGUAGUGGCUUACCAAGGCUUUGACGGGUAGCCGGCCUGGUAGGGUGACCGGCCACACUGGGACUGGGAUGCGGCACAGACUCGUAUGGGAGGGAGGAGAGGAGAAGGGUGUACAAGGGGCGGAAGCCUGAUGCAGCAACGCCGCGCGCGGGAAGACGGGCUGGGGGUUGGAAACCGAUUUCGCCUGUGACGAAGCGAGAGUGACGGUAAUGGGUAAAGAAGCACCGGCUAACUACGUG